AUGAAGCAUACAAAAUAUAGAGUAAAUCUUAGGGAGGUUAGGGAAUUUCGGACAACCUGGUUAGGCGCACUAUUGUUCAGGUUGAUUUGCCUUGUUAUAAUUAUUUCCCAUAUUUUCUUGACAAUUGUGUCUUAUAUAAUUAUAACAAUACGUUUUCUUUCCCAAAUAGAUGUCUCUUACAAAAUCUGCAAUAUGCUAGACUCUUUCACGAGUUCUAUGUUGGAUAACGGUUCAUUUUUUCCUUGGACCUGUGUUGUAAUAGUUUCUGUUCUAUAG